rnacentral:tRNA from 1 species
ACCGGGGUGGCGCAGAGGGAGCGCGCGGGGCUCAUAACUCCGAGGACAUAGGAUCGAGACCUAUCUCCGGUA